rnacentral:tRNA from 1 species
UGCGGGAUCGUCUAACGGUAGGACAACGGCCUCUGAAGCCGUUUAUUUAGGUUCAAAUCCUAAUCCCGCAG